GGUCUAUCAUAACGAAAAAGCUUUUGAAUGACAUAAAAGCUUUAACUAACAAUCCCAAUAUUUAAUUGCAUAAAAAAGAACAAGUUCCUGCAUUUCAUUGUAAUAUCCUAGCUCAAUUCAUAAAAAUGAAUAGACACUUAGAAAAAGGGGAACCCAGAACCAUAAAUUUAUGACUGUGGCAAGGUCAUGGGAAUAGUUAGACCCAUUGUGAAUUUAUUGUAAGAAACCAUACCUUGCACUUGCAAAGCCUUGCAUUUCUUAUAUAACAUCAUCUUAAUAUAUUUGUAUAACCAAUAAUGUUGAUUCUCAAAGUACAAGCUAACUUUUAGGAAAGUGGUUAUAGAAAAUACUGUAAAGGCCAUAACAUAGAUCCCUC
rnacentral:lncRNA from 1 species